UACGUAGGCAGCGAGCGUUGUUCGGAAUUACUGGGCGUAAAGAGUGUGUAGGCGGUGCUCUAAGUUCGGUGUGAAAUCUCCUGGCUCAACUGGGAGGGUGCGCCGGAAACUGGAGUGCUUGAGCGUGGGAGAGGAAAGCGGAAUUCCUGGUGUAGCGGUGAAAUGCGUAGAUAUCGGGAGGAACACCGGUGGCGAAGGCGGCUCUUUGGUCCACAACUGACGCUGAGGUGCGAAAGCCAGGGGAGCAAACGGG
rnacentral:rRNA from 1 species